GAAGCGUGCACGGGUUUGGCUGACCAUCUCCUCAUGGUGUUAGUUCCUGAUUAUGAAAUGUAAACGAGAGUGUGCCAGAGGGAAGGCACAAAGCAACACCACUCCUCAGAUGGGACACUCUCUUUGCUCCAGUGAAGUGCUCGCCUUAGGCUGAGCUGAGUCAAUCAACGCUGGGUGAUUUAAGAGGGACCUCUACAAUGUGCCAAAAAAAAAGGAUGACUAAAUCCUAAAUGGGUCAUGGGCGUUGCUGUAGCCAAUCCCAGCUGUCAUCAGGCGAGAGGCGUGAUACACCC